UGCCUGGCGGCCGAUUCGCCAUAAACACUAUAUCCUCCGCCGGUCAUUAUCAUUGUCAUUUAUCGAUUUCCAUUUUCAAUUCAUCUCUUCACUGUCUCUAACUGUCUGUGGCCGGGGUCCCC
ensembl:ncRNA F14D12.11 ncRNA